rnacentral:rRNA from 1 species
UCCAGACUCCUACGGGAGGCAGCAGUGGGGAAUAUUGGGCAAUGGGCGCAAGCCUGACCCAGCAACGCCGCGUGAAGGAAGAAGGCUUUCGGGUUGUAAACUUCUUUUCUCAGGGACGAAGAAAGUGACGGUACCUGAGGAAUAAGCCACGGCUAACUACGUGCCAGCAGCCGCGGUAAUACGUAGGUGGCAAGCGUUGUCCGGAUUUACUGGGUGUAAAGGGCGUGCAGCCGGGCUGACAAGUCAGAUGUGAAAUCCCGCGGCUCAACCGCGGAACUGCAUUUGAAACUGUCAGUCUUGAGUACCGGAGAGGUCAUCGGAAUUCCUUGUGUAGCGGUGAAAUGCGUAGAUAUUAGGAGGAACACCAGUGGCGAAGGCGGCUUACUGGACAGUAACUGACGUUGAGGCUCGAAAGCGUGGGGAGCAAACAGGAUUAGAUACCCGCGUA